CUGGAAUCUACGGAGCCCCCCUAGUGUCAGGUAAGAGAAAAAAACACAGCCGUGUGUAAUCCGUGCCCUCAGUUUUGCAAACCGUACCUUCGGUUUUGCCAUACGUGCCCUCGAUUUUGUAAACCGUACCCUAAGUUUUGCAAUCCGUGCCCUCGGUUUUGCAAUCCGUGCUCUCGGUUUGUACUCUGCGUGCGCUUCCUUCUUCACUUCUUUCUGCAGCAAACAAGAGACCAUAGGACUUUUCGAUGGCGUACAUCUGCCUGAAUGGACCAGAUUUUAGACAUGUUCCUUCGAGUGAGGAGGUUAUUGCCACCUUCAUCAAUGAAAAGAUUGACUGCCAUGCUGUCCAUGGUAUGACAGAUGACCAGCUAAUUAAAUAUGUGCCCAAAAUUGGAGAUCGGAUAGCUAUUCGGCAGUACUGCAGAAGAGAAAUGGCUGCAUUGGAAGGAACCACCGCAACUAUCUCUAAGGCUACAGAAAGCCUGAUGGCAAAAAAACAAAACAAAGACGGGCCUCCAAGAGAAGUCGUGGGGAUGAUCGUUCAGAAAAAUUGUCGGGUAACACUAAUGCUCUGAAAACGGAGCGUGCUUUUCAAAUGGGAUUGUUUGAAGAAGUAGGGGACUCUUGUAUUCAGGUAAAAGAGAAAAGGGGAGGAGGGAUCAGACAUUUGAAAGCAUUGAAGACUACUACAAUGGCACAGCUGUUGGAGACUGGCAAAGAACUCUUUUUUCCGAAUGUAAAAUGUAAAAUAGGCAAUGCCAAUGAAUUUGAAUUCACCAUGCGAGAUGUUACUGAAGAUCAGCUGGAUCCAUUGACCACACUAGCUCAGCAAUAUGAGAAGAGAAAAGUUAAAUUGUUGAGACUGUAUCUAUCUUGCAAAAAGAUUGACAUUGAAGGAGAUGAAACACUGAAUGCUGCUACCUCACCUGGUGAAUCACAAAAUGCAUCAGCCCUCACAAGUGAAUCAUGCUGUGCAGCUGCUGCUUCACAUGGAGCUGUUUCCAUAAUUGGAUCUCCCAGUGGAACUGCUUUCACAACUGGAACUCCAAGUACAAGUGAAUUUGCCAGUCCAAUGUCGAGUGAAACUUUGAAUGCCGUAGAUUACAGUAUCUCUUUGUAAAUAUUUGAUUAUAUCUUUUCAUGUGACAACAUUGAAGAAAUGACACUUUGCUAUAAUGUAAAGUAGUGAGUGUACAGCUUGUGAAACUGUGUAGAUUUGCUGUCCCCUCAAAAUAACUCAAUACACAGCCAUUAAUGUCUAAACCGCUGGCAACAAAAUUGAGUACACCCCUAAGUGAAAAUGUCCAAAUUGGGCCCAAAGCUUCAAUAUUUUGUGUGGCCACCAUUAUUUUCCAGCACUGCCUUAACCCUCUUGGGCAUGGAGUUCACCAGAGCUUCACAGAUUGCCACUGGAGUCCUCUUCCACUCCUCCAUGAUGACAUCACGGAGCUGGUGGAUGUUAGAGACAUCCACCUUCCAUUUGAGGAUGCCCCACAGAUGCUCAAUAGGGUUUAGUCCAUCACCUUCACCCUCAGCUUCUUUAGCAAGGCAGUGGUCGUCUUGGAGGUGUGUUUGGGGUCGUUAUUAUGCUGGAAUACUGCCCUGCGUCCCAGUCUCCGAAGGGAUGGGAUCAUGCUCUGCUUCAGUAUGUCAGACCAUGACACUCCCACCACCAUGCUUGACUGUAGGCAAGACACACUUGUCUUUGUACUCCUCACCUGGUUGCCGCCACACACGCUUGACACCAUCUGAACCAAAUAAGUUUAUCUUGGUCUCAUCAGACCACAGGACAUGGUUCCAGUAAUCCAUGUCCUUAGUAUGCUUGUCUUCAGCAAACUGUUUGCGGGCUUUCUUGUGCAUCAUCUUUAGAAAAGGCUUCCUUCUGGGACAACAGCCAUGCAGACCAAUUUGAUGCAGUGUGCGGUGUAUGAUCUGAGCACUGACAGGCUGACCCCCACCCCUUCAACCUGUGCAGCAAUGCUGGCAGCACUCAUACGUCUAUUUCCCAAAGACAACCUCUGGAUAUGAUGCUGAGCACGUGCACUCAACUUCUUUGGUCGACCAUGGCGAGGCCUGUUCUGAGUGGAACCUGUCCUGUUAAACCGCUGUAUGGUCUUGGCCACCGUGCUGCAGUUCAGUGUCAGGGUCUUGGCAAUCUUCUUAUAGCCUAGGCCAUCUUUAUGUAGAGCAACAAUUCUUUUUUUCAGACCCUCAGAGAGUUCUUUUGCCAUGAAGUGCCAUGUUGAACUUCCAGUGACCAGUAUGAGGGAGUGCGAGAGCGAUGACACCAAAUUUAACACACCUGCUCCCCAUUCACACCUGAGACCUUGUAAUACUAACAAGUCACAUGACACUCGGAGAGAAUAUGGCUAAUUCGGCCCAAUUUGGACAUUUUCACUUAGGGAUGUACUCACUUUUGUUGCCAACGGUUUAGACAUUAAUGGCUGUGUGUUGAGUUUUUUUGAGGGGACAGCAAAUUUACACUGUUACACAAGCUGUACACUCACUACUUUACAUUGUAGCAAAGUGUCAUUUCUUCAGUGUUGUCACAUGAAAAGAUAUAGCCAAAUAUUUACAAAAAUGUGAGGGGUGUACUCACUUUUGUGAGAUACUGUACGUCUCAACAGAGCAUGACAUGCUGGAUAAGGAGGAUUUAAUUGUUGUACCAGAGGCAUCAUUUUUAAUUGAUGAGGAAAUUGUGCUCGGAUAUGCUUUUCUUGAUGAUUGCCAGGAUGACCUUGAUGAUACCCUUCCAAUGGACCCAGUGCAGGAGGACAGGUUUACAGGACAGGAACCUUGUCAACCACCAAAGAUCAUCAGGCUAAGGCUUCACAGGGGAAAUGUUUUCAGUGAACUAAAUGCUGCUUUUAAAAAUGGUUGUGUGUUUGUAGAUGAGUCUCUCUUGGAGAUUGAGAUGGUCUUACCCAAUGGUAACACAAAGAAAGGAGAAGACAAUGGUGAAGUUUUGUGUGAUGUGUUAAGUGAGUACUGGGAGACCUUUAUUAUGAAAUGCACUGCUGGAAACUUACUUCAAAUACCAAUGACGAGACAUGACAUGAAAGAUGAGUGGAAACACAUAGCUAAAGUCAUGGUCCUUGGCUACAACCUGGUCAAGUACUUUCCCAUUGUGCUGGCCAAGCCCUUCCUCUCCUACUGUCUUGGACAUGAAAUCAUGGAUCACCUUUUUUCAACAUUCUUAGAGAUAGUUUCCAUUGAAGAAAAAGAAGUUGCUGAGCAAGCGAUGAAAGACUUCCAAACCUUCUCUGGAAGAGAGGAAUGGUUGGAUUUCCUAGAGGCACAUGAUGGCAAACUUCUCGUCACAGAAGCAAAUGUCAGAAAAACUUACUUGAAGUGGCACAUAGAGAAAUAGUUCAGGAGCCUGCAUAGAUAGCAGAGUGUUGGAGCAGUGUGCUCAAAGGGCUGAAACUGCCCCCAGGAGGAUUGGAUGAAGUCCUGGCCAGCCUCAUUCCUACACCCAGGAAGGUUGUUGCCAUGAUACAACAUGAGAUCCUCAACAAGAGAGAAAAUCAGAUUCUUGAUUUUCUCAAGAAGUUUAUAAGGAAUUGUGGUGAACUUCGGCUGAGGAAAUUUCGCAGGUUUUGCACUGGUGCAGAUCUCCUAGUUGCCCAGAAUAUCCAGGUCUGAUUCAUGUAGCCGGAGAUUAUGUUUACUAGAACACCCCAGGCCCACACAUGUGGCUGUGUGUUGGAAGUCCCAAACAACUAUGUGUCAUACCCAGUUUUGGUUGAAGAGUUCGUUAAUGUUCUUGAUGCAAACAUGCGGGUCAUGGACAUUAUUUAGUGGUAAGUGACUGGUGUCAGUUUAAGUCAAAAUUACAUUUUGUGAAUUUGAUUGGGAAACCCAUCUGCUUGUGGCCAGCUUGGUAGAGAAAUAGAGGGGAUAUCAGGAUAAAACAUAUUGUCAUACAUACGGCAUAUACAGAUGACAAGCAUGAUUCCAUGAAACAUAAAAGAUGGUAUGAUACAUACAAAAGGGAGGUUGGAUAUAGGGCAGUAAUUUGCCAGGUUAUAAGGAUCAAGGUUGGGUUUUUUGAGAGAUGGUUUGAUCACUGAUAUUUGACAAUUGUGGUACAUAUCUGGGAUUUUUAAAUACUUUAAAGGGCUCAUUGUUUGCUUUUCCGUCUUUUUCCCUUACCUUUAGUGUGUUAUAGAUCUUGUUGCAUGUAAACGGUCUGCACAGUUAUAAACCCCAAAGUACACUCCAGAGGGCGUAGCUCUCUCCCGCAGAAACUAUUUUUCUGUUGCCUGAAAAUUCCACUUCUUCCAUGACAUGAUGAUGCAAUCUCAUUACACUAUUAGGGUGAGCUGACGAAUCAGAGCACACUGGGCUCAUCAGAGGUGGGGUUUUAAAGACACAGGAGCAAAAGGAGCACUAACAGUGUUUCAGACAUAGGGCAGAUAUGCAGUAUGAGGAAACAUACUGUGUUUUGGAAACACUGAAGCAUGUAAAUCUAUUCUAGUAGAUGCCCUAAAUAAAAUUAUAAACAUUGAAAAUGAGCAUACAAUGGGUUCUUUGUUUCAUUUUAUAAGGGCAGUGCGUGCAUAAGUAGUUUAGUAGGAAUGGGGUCUAGUAGGCACAUUGAUGAUCUAGACGAGGAUGUCAGGGAAGUAAGUAGUAUAACAACUGAGGUUAAGUGAAGUCAGUAUAAGUAUUGGAUUUGUAAGAUAAAAGUGUAAAGCAAUCAGCAGUGACAGUAGACGCUGUGCAAUGUAUGGAGAGCCUCUUCAAAACUCCAAAUCAGGAAGUGCUUACCUAUUACUCAGGACACCACCAUAAAGGCCACCUGCCGGAGACACAAGUAGCACACAGAGAAGAGGAGGGGCUAGGCAGGGCUGUGACAGUCCGUACAUCUGUAUUUGCAUGUGUGUGUCCAUAUCCAAUCUCUGAGGGACAGCAUAUUUAUAUUUGUGUUUUUCUAUGUUUGUAAAUCUUAAAAGGGAUACAUUAGUUAUAUUUAGGAGUGAUGGUUCUCACUUUGUUCUUGUUCCAUGUUUUUUUGCAAAAAUAAAAAAAAUUUGCUAUGUUUGCA
ensembl:lncRNA